CGUGUAGGCGGACCUGUAAGUCCGGUGUAAAAGCCCCCGGCUCAACCCGGGGAAGGCCAUCGGAGACUGCAGGUCUCGAGUGCGGGAGGGGAGAGUGGAACUCUUGGUGGAGCGGUGAAAUGCGUAGAUAUCAAGAGGAACGCCGGUGGCGAAAGCGGCUCUCUGGCCCGUGACUGACGCUGAGGCGCGAAAGCUAGGGGAGCAAACGGGAUUAGAUACCCCGGUAGUCCUAGCCCUAAACGAUGGGUACUAAGUAGGGGCGGCUCCGAUGUCGUCUCUGCUGUAGCCAAUGUGCUAAGUACCCCGCCUGGGGAGUACGGUCGCAAGGCUGAA
rnacentral:rRNA from 1 species